CAUGCUGUUGCUGCUGCUGUUGUUCCUGCUGCUGCAUUGUAAUUAUGCGAAGCGCUAGGACCCCGCGGACAACACUCUCUGGAUGACACAGAACAAACUGCGAGUUGAGUUUUGGCCACUCAAACAUGGAAAUGUUGAACUGACAGCGCAGAACUAACUCGGCACUCUGAAUUGGACGAUAGGUAGGCUCGGCCUAUCAUACCGCCACCGGGGGAUUGUUUUUGUGGAGAGAUCGAUUUUGGGAAUCAAUGUCUACGUGCGCAACUGAAGUUUUAUUUUAUGGGUUUGGAUUUAGGCUGCUGUGCAAUAGUAUGAUUUUUAGUGUGUGUCGUUUGCUCUGGGGGUAAAAGUGCUGAACAUUAAUAUUUUAACCAAAUGGAUUAUGUUCAUUUUGCGCAAAAGCUCUUAUAAGAAGUUGUUUUGUUGUAAUGUUCUGGAUAUGUUUUCGCAGUAUACCUUGCUAAGUGAGUGAUGAUUGAUUUGGAUAUGUCAGCACCGCUGAGCGCUCAUCCACACACUCCAUCAUUCCUGGACUGGGGAAAGUAAGAAACCACCUGUUGUGAAUGCUUUCUGGAACUUCCCACGGAUAUACCUCUGCGGCUAAAACAAGACAUUGGAAAGGCGUGCGCAGAACGCACAGAGACAUGUAAAGCCGGUAUGCUUUACGCGGAACACUGAGAACUCGUUUUGUAUUCAUGGGACAGGCACAGGCUAAUAAUCCUAUUUUAAUUUAUUGCUAUUACCUGUAGUUAAUUAUGUCGCCAUGGUGGCACGGGUUAAGAUGAUGAGUCCUGUCUUGGCCACCAGUUGCUGUUGCGCUCAGAAUGGCUCGCGAGGACGCGGUGAGGUGCCUCCGCUGCCUGCUCUACGCUCUCAAUUUACUCUUCUGGCUCAUGUCGAUAUGUGUCCUGGGGGUGGCUGCUUGGCUCAGGGACUACCUGAACACUGUGCUCACCUUGACAGCUCACACCAGGCUGGAGGAAGCAGCAGUUCUCACCUAUUCUCCGGCUGUCCAUCCCGUCAUCAUUGCAGUGUGCUGUUUUCUUAUCAUCGUGGCCAUGGUGGGCUACUGUGGCACACUGAAAUGCAACCUUCUACUCCUGUCCUGGUACUUUGGCAGUUUGUUGGUGAUCUUCUGUGUAGAGUUGGCCAGUGGGGUGUGGACGUAUGACGAGCCUUCAGUUCAUAGGUCAGAUAUGAUCAGUCUGAAGUCCAGGAUGCCCAACUAUGGCCUGCAGCGUUAUCAGUGGCUAACACACACCUGGAACACCUUCCAGACUGAGUUUAAGUGCUGUGGGGUCAUCUACUUCACUGAUUGGCUGGAGAUGACAGAGAUGGAGUGGCCACCAGACUCCUGCUGCUCCAAUCAGUAUCCAGGUUGUGCUCGACAUGCCCACUACCGUGACCUCAGUGACCUUCACCAAGAGGGCUGUGGGCCGAAGAUCUACAGUUUCAUCAGAGGAACUAAGCAGCUGCAGGUGCUGCGUUUCCUGGGUGUGUCUAUAGGAGUGGCCCAGAUUCUGGCCAUGACCCUGACCCUAACCCUGCUCUGGGCCCUCUACUACGACCGCAAGCCCCCCGAGCCCACCCCGCUCGACCCCCCACCAGGAACCGACCCUGGAUCUCUAACCAUCACCCACGGACCCCAAUGGGAGGCUCCUAAAUCGGGUAACACUCGCCUGGCUGAGGCCUGGUCCAAUGCUGCGACCACGUCUAACGGACAUGGACACACCCAGUUUGAGAUGGAGAGGCUGUCCUAGCGGGGGGGUACACUGUCUACCCAUCUGCCCCUCACACUACCCCUCACCCCUACUUCCCAUACACUGAGAGAGGGAAAUAAUAAGGGGAUGAGGAGAAAGUGUGAGACUAGAUGAGGGGAGAGAAGGGGGUUGAGAAAAAGAGGGUAGGAGCUAUGAGAGAGAUUGGGCACAGGUGCAGGAGCGUGAAUGCCCCCCCCAUACCCCCCUCUCUUUCCCGUAGGACAACAUGUCAAUGACAUACUGGACUGUGGGACUUUUUAGGACUAUUUUGUCACAGCCUGGAUUGGAAAUUGUAACGGAAACUAAAUAACUAAGUCAAUGCUUGCUCCUGUAGCGUCACCACUAUCCAAAAGUGAGGAGCGGAGGGAAUUGUUUUAGUUUUCCCAGCAUUCCUCCUCCUCGUUGGGAAUGUUUGGGAAUAUCACCACUAGCACUGACUGGAUGAAACCUGUUCAGCAAAGACUGCUGUAAGGACAUGUCAACUAUUCAUCUCACUCAAAACACACCGAACCAAGGAAAUUCAGUUUAUCUGGAUAUUUGGAAAUAUCAUGUCUUAAUUUGACAGACCUGUUGGAAUCCACAGGAACCACUCAGCCAUAUUCAUGAGCGUUUGUGCACCAGUCAGAGUGUAUUAUCGUAGUCUACUAUAAAUGGAACAUGAUAUUGGCUAUUUAUUUCUGGCUCUGUGAGAAUAAUGCAUAUGAGCUCAAACAAUAAUCUGUGCAUGUGAUCAUUUCAGAGGGGUUGUGAACUAUACUGUGUUGUUUGCCAAGGAAUAAUAACACAACCAAGUGUUUGUUCUCUGAUAAAGAUCACUGUCAGAAUGACACACUUAGGGAUGAAAAAUAAAAUGUUAUUUCAUCGCCACACAGCACAUAUCAUAAACAUUUGAAGCGAACAGAAUUCAUUCUGGGAGAACGAUGAGAACGAUAUGUGGGAGAGUAGGGUCUUUCAUUCUGAAAUAACAUACCCUGCUUUCAGUGGGGGCUGCUGAGGGGAGGGCGACUCAUAAUAAUGUCGGGAACGGAGCAAAUGUAAUGGCAUCAAACAUAUAGAAACCAGGUGUUUAAUGCCAUUCCACUCAUUCUGCUCCAGCCAGUACCAUGAGCCCUUCCUCCCAAAUGAAGGUGCCACCAACCUCCCGUGCCUGUUUUCCAUUGAGAAUCCAUAGUAUUUAUAGCUAGAAGGGCAGUCUGUAAACUGCAGCUGUCAACACCCACUGAAUGUCAGAAACUACCCAUAAGAUCCUUUAAGGCCACUGGUGAUUAUAUUUAAUGUUUGCCCUCUAGCUGUGUGCCCCCUUACUGUGUGUCCUCUAGCUGUGUGUCCCCUUGCUGUAUGUCCCCUUGCUGUGUGCCCCCUUGCUGUGUGUCCCCUUGCUGUGUGUCCCCUUGCUGUGUGUCCCCUUGCUGUGUGCCCCCUUGCUGUGUGUCCCCUUGCUGUGUGUCCCCUUGCUGUGUGUCCCCUUGCUGUGUGCCCCCUUGCUGUGUGUCCCCUUGCUGUGUGUCCCCUUGCUGUGUGCCCCCUUGUUGUGUGUCCCCUUGCUGUGUGUUCCCUUGCUGUGUGCCCUCUAGCUGUGUGCCCCCUUGCUGUGUGUCCCCUUGCUGUGUGUCCCCUUGCUGUGUGCCCCCUUGCUGUCCCUCAUCAAAGGACUCUGGUCAUCGUUGGCUUUCGGCAAGGAUACUCCAGAGGUGUCACUCUUAAAUGCUGCUGGACGGACACAUGAAUGGAGAGAACUUUGGUACCAACCUAAGGGUUCCUGGGGGACAGUGAUGUACUGUAUGGGCAGGGUGAAUGAAGGUGGCAGAGUCCCCUUUCAAAGUACACCCUUAAUCGGAGAAGCACAGGCUUGAACCCAAACUAACCCCUAUGCCCCUAACUUUAGGCCCUCAUUGAUUCCUACUUGAUGCACUAAAAGUAGUAGCUGGGAGUAGAAAGGCAUCAGCAAUAUAGUCACAGCUCCACCUAGGCCUCCAGGUUGGCAGCUUUCUGACAGUUUCACUCAUUUCAGAUCAGCAACGACAAACCAGAAAGUGUGUAAUGUAAGUGGUUAUAGGUUGGUUCAAGGUCACAGAGAGACAUGCGAUUGGGCCAGUGUAUAUUGAGUAGCAACUUUAACUUAGACAUUUUUGAUGGAGGGGAAAAAGUGCCUGUUAGAAGAAGAGUAGAAUGGAUGGAUGAGCCUACAGUUAAAAUCCUGCUGUCUCUCUCUCUCUCCCUCCCUCCUUCUCCUAACUCCUUCCCUCGCUCUGUUCACUGCUUGACAAUGUGAAGGAUAUGAUUUAUGAAAGAGGGAAAGGCGUGUAGCGCCCCUGUCACAGUGGGUUACAAAAGACAUAUUGUUCUCUUGCUGCCGCUGUCUCUCCCCUCCGCUCUACCUCCUACGUCUAUUCACUUAUUCAUCCUAGUGGGAUAUGUGUGUGUGUGUGUGUGUGUGUGUGUGUGUGUGUGUGUGUGUGUGUGUGUGUGUGUGUGUGUGUGUGUGUGUGUGUGUGUGUGUGUGUGUGUGUGUGUGUGUGUGUGUGUGUGUGUGUGUGUGUGUGUGUGUGAGAGAGAAAGAAAGAGAGAAACAGUGUGGUGUACAGACAGUAAGCCUCUUCAUUCCUCUUUCCUCACAUACAGUACCAGUUGAAAGUUUGGACACACCUACUCAUUCAAAGGUUUUUCUUUAUUUUUAUUAUUUUCUACAUUGCAGAAUAAUAGGGAAGACAUCAAAACUAUGAAAUAACACAUAUCAUGUAGUAACCAAAAAAGUGUUAAACAAAUCAAAAUAGAUUUUAGAUUCUUCAAAGUAGCCACCUUUUGCCUUGAUAACAGCUUUGCAUACUCUUGGCAUUCUCUCAACCAGCUUCAUCUGGAAUUAUUUUCCAACUGUCUUGAAGGAGUUCCCACAUAUGCUGAGCACUUGUUGGCUGCUUUUCCUUUACUCUGCGGUCCAACUCAUCACAAACCAUCUCAAUUGAGUUGAGGUCAGGUCAUCUGAUGCAGCACUCCAUCACUCUCCUUCUUGGUCAAAUAGCCCUAACACAGCCUGGAUGUGUGUUGGGUCAUUGUCCUGUUGAAUAACAAAUCAUAGUCCUACUAAGCACAAACCAGAUGGGAUGGUGUAUCGCUGCAGAAUGCUGUGGUAACCAUGCUGGUUAAGUGUGCCUUGAAUUCUAAAUAAAUCACAGACAGUGUCUCCAGCACCACCACACCAUCACAUCUCCUCCUCCAUGCUUCGCGGUGGGAACUACACAUGCAGAGAUAUCCUUUCACCUAUGAUGAAAGGAUAGACACGGUGGUUGAAUCCAAAAAUUCCCCCGGUCUAAUGUCCAUUGCUCGAGUUUCUUGGCCCAAGCAAGUCUUUUCUUAUUAUCUGUGUCCUUUAGUAGUGGUUUCUUUGCAGCAAUAUGACCAUAAAGGCCUGAUUCAGGCAGUCUCCUCUGAACAGUUGAUAUUGAGAUGUGUCUGUUACUUGAACUCUGUGAAGCAUUUUUUUGGGCUGCAAUUUCUGAGGCUGGUAACUCAAAUGAACUUAUCCUCUGCAGCAGAGGUAACUCUAGGUCCUCCUUUUAUGUGGUGGUCCUCAUGAGAACCAGUUUCAUCAUAGCGCUUGAUGGUUUUUGCAACUGCACUUGUAGAAAUGUUCAAAGUUCUUGACAUUUUCCACAUUGACUGACCUUCAUGUCUUAAAGUAAAGUAAUGAUGGACUAUUGUUUCGCUUUUUUUUAUUUGAGCUGUUCUUGUCAUAAUAUGGACUUGGUCUUUUACCAAAUAAGGCUACCUUCUGUUCAUCACUCCUACAUUGUCACACAACUGAUUGGCUCAAACGCAUUAAGGAAAGAAAUUCCACAAAUGAACUUUUAAGGAGGCACACCUGUUAAUUGAAAGGCAUUCCAGGUGACUUCCUCAUGAAGCUGGUUGAGAGAAUGCCAAGAAUAUGCAAAGCGGUCAUCAAGGUAAAGGGUGGCUGCUUUGAAGAAUCUCAAAUAUAAAAUAUAUUUAAUUAUUUUAAUAAAACUUUUUUUGCUUACAUGAUUCCAUAUGUGUCAGUUCAUAGUUUUGAUGUCUUCACUAUCAUUCUACAAUGUAGAAAAUAGUAAAAAUAAAUAAAAACCCUGGAAUUAGUAGGUUUGUCCAAACUGGCACUGCAGAUAUAUAUAGGCCUAGAUCCAUUUCCCUCUGUUCUUAGUCUCUGUCUAAUUGAUACAGAUCUAUGAUAUUUUGCUCUCUGAAUUUAGUUUUGAAUAACAGUAGAGAAGUCAUGGAGAAAGGACUGUCUUAAUCCCACAAGUCUCUUUGGAGACAAGCGGGUCACUGCUUUAGGACAAAUUCACAGUAGACAUGGGUACAGAGGGAUACAAACACAUACUCUCUCUCCCCUCCCUUUCUCUCUCGGUGUACAGUAAAAGGAGCCAGCGGCAGAAAUAAAACCAUUACCCUCUGACCCCUGUGUAAAAAUAGCUGGGGCAGAAAUAGUCUAUGUGCUGGCAUGCUGCUUGGGUAAGUCCCGCUUCAGUUUCCCCCCUGAUGCAUGUCAUCUGCAAUGCACCCUGGGAAGCUGAGGGACUACACAUCCUCCCAAAACAUCUCAAUUACUAACCCCCUGAUGAGAAAUAUGCUAAUACAGAUAGACAAAUGUGCACGCACACACACACACACACACAGAUGUACACACACACACACACACACACACACACACACACACACACACACACACACACACACACACACACACACACACACACACACACACACACACACACACACACACACACACACACACACACACACACACACACACACACACACAGGCCAACUCCCUUAUGAGAAAUAUGCUAAUACAUUCACAAUGCAGAGAGAAAUUACCCUGGGAGAUAGACUCUCCUGCUCCAUAUUGUAUGGCUGAAAUUGGACAAGACUGCACCCCCUCACCCCAUCAUGUCCCCGCUCACAGCUAUAGGACUAUCAUUAUAUAGUGUCUUCAGAAAGUAUAAACCCCCUUGACUUUUUCCACAUUUUGUCGUGUUACAAAGUGUGAUUAAAAUUGAUUUAAUUGUCAUAUUUGGUCAACGAUCUACACAAUGUCAAUUGUGCAACAUUUGAUUGCGCAACAUGUGCCAUUAUUCUUUUCAAAAUUCUUCAAGCUCUGGCAAAUUGGUUGUUGAUCAUUACUAGACAACCAUUUUCAGGUCAUGCCAUAUUUUUUAAAACAGAUAUAAGUCAAAACUGUAACUCGGCCACUCAGGAACAUUCACUGUCUUCUUAGUAAGCAACUCUAGUGUAGAUUUAGCCUUGUGUUUUAGGUUAUUGUCCUGCUGAAAGGUGAAUUAAUCUCCCAGUUUCUGUUGGAAAGCAGACUGAACCAGGUUUUCCUCUAGGAUUUUGCCUGUGCUUAGCUCCAUUCCGUUUCUUUUUAUCCUAAAAAGUAAUCCUGAGUCCUUUAACAAUUACAAGCAUACCCAUAACAUGAUGCAGCGACCACAAUGCUUGGCAAUUAUACAAUUCUGUUAUGUGUUGUAUUGUAUUGGAUUAGCCCCAAACAAAACACUUUUUAUUCAGGACAAAAAGUGAAUUGCUUUGCCACAGUUUUUGCAGGAUUACUUUAGUGCCUUGUUGCAAAUUGGAUGUAUGUUUUGGAAAAACAAUUAUUCUGUACAUGCUUCCUUCUUUUCACUCUGUCAAUUAGGUUAGUAUUGUGGAGUAACUACAAUGUUGUUGAUCCAUCUUCAGUUUUCUCCUGCAGCUAUUAAACUCUUAACUGCUUUAAAGUCACCAUUGAUUGGCCUCAUGGUGAAAUCCCUGAGCGUUUUAUGUCCUCUCCGACAACUUAUCCAUUUUAAAUUCAGCCUGAAACACAACAAAAUGUGGAAAAAGUCAAGGGGUGUGAAUACUUUCUGAAGGCACUGUACAUUUUGUAUUAACAGCAGUUCUUUGGUGCAGAAGUUACACUGAAAUAUGUGGGUAUACAACAUAGCGUAUAAGUAGAAAUACGGUAGAUUAUAUUGGUGCAGCAAAGCAGACCGUACAUUGACUUUGAAAACAUCUAAAUGUUGAUGUCAAAAGAAGACAACCAGUCUUAUAUAAGUAUUUUAAUAGGACAAUGAUUUGUUCUAUUUACUAAUAGACACUGCACCGGACUAAACAAUUGAAUUGUAUUUUUUUUAAUAUCUUUUCAAUAAUUCAUAUACAGUAUUUUUGUCAACACAAGCUUUAACAGAUCAAAAGUAAUCAUCAUAUAAUCAUCCUUUUAAUUUCUUCAAUUUACAUAAUCUCAUGUACAAGACCUAAGUACACUCCUUCAUCCCUAAAAGUUUUUCACUUAGGCAUGGAAACUGAAAGACAGAGGGUGUGUCCCAAAUGGCACCCUACUCCCUAUAUAGUGCACUACUUUUGACCAGAGUCCUAUGUGCCCUGAUCAAAAGUAGUGCACUAUAUAGGGAAUAGGGUGCCGUUGGGAUGUAUCCAGAGACAACCCCUGUCCUUGUGCAACACUAAACCCAAAGUUCUCCAACAAACGCAUGCAUUUUGUCUUAGAAAAAUAUUAAGCCGGUUCUUAAAAUGCGGUGGAGCAGAAGGCUAACUAAAAUAAGACACUAGAACCUUCGGUGAAAAUGAUUUUUAAAAACGACUAAACCAUGAUGAUUUUUACUACACCAAAGAACAAUUUACAGCACAUGUGUACGAGCAACAUUUGUAAUUAUUUUUUUCUCUUUACAUGAACAAAAAAAGACAGAUUUUUCAACAUCAUUUGAUAUUUUAAAAAAUAUGUAUUUGUGUUUCUCUAUUGUCUCUCUCCCACUCUCUCUGCUCUCUGAUACAAAGCAUAUCUUUACCAACAAACAAAAAAAUUGUUGCAUAUGUCACAUCAUAGUCAAGCAGUGAUGGUGAAGUGGACAGAUUUCGGGGCGGGAGGUGGGAAAGGGGCGGGGGUUGGAGCAGGGGGUGUGGCAUUCGCUUCAGCAGUCUCAAGAGCCACGUUCAGUCCACCAACGUCAGCCAUCUUGGAAAACGGAAAAGCGGAAAAAAAUAUCGUCACCGGAAACGACAAGUUCUCGAUAAAACCUCCCGAGAUCUCACAGCCGAGAUAUAGAACAUCAUUAAAUCAGCUCGCUGGAUUUUAAACUGUCAUUCAAUGUAUUUGCAUUGAUUUCGUUGUACUGAUUUGGAAUGGUUACAGGAUUCCAUCCCCGCCAAGCGCUGAGAGUGUUCUAGCUACGGUGAUAGCUGAGCUAUCAGUCACGACAAGACAGAAUUAUCAUAGAGCGUCAGCUCAAUAAACACUUUCAGUCAAUCAUGUUUGGUCGACUGGUACAGGAGCUUCCUUUGCACUUUGAUUUUCAUUUUCCAUACCAAACCCCCAUUUGGUGAUAAAGUAUGGAGGCCUGUGUGGUACAAAUCAGGAACAAAACAAACGUCAUACUGUCUGUAGCAAACCAACAUGCACUUCAAAUGAACAGAGACCUUCAAAAUAGAAGUCUAAUCACAGUUUUUAUCCUCAUAUUCAGAAGAAAAUCAUCUUUGUAUCAAAAUGGAAUGGACUCAAAUAUCUGUGUGUUCAUUUAAGACUUCCUCUAUUCCCCUCAUUCAAUCUGCUUUAGCAUGUCCACAAUGCAUAAAACAAGACAAAACACAACAUUGGGGUUUGGAUAAAACACAUCGAUAUAUCUAUAAAAAACCUCAAUAAACCCUCAAUAAAUGAAACAAUAAACCCAUUUCAAGGUCAGGCAUCAUGUGGGUGCUGCUUUGAAUGUUAAAUCACGACAAAUGAUGUAGUCAACUCUGGUUGAGAGAGAGGGAUAGUUUCAAAAUGGCAUCAAAGGUAUUCAGUAUUCACAAUGGCCAUUCGGUUAGAGAGGACAGGACGGACAGGAGAGGAACAAUCAUGUCUUUCAUACAAAUAGGUACUCAAGUAAAUCAGCUCUGAGAGAAAGGGCGAGUGUGAUAUGCUAGAUCACCAAUAUAUACAGCACACACACCGAGGACUCAACCCUAAUUGCUCAUGCUAAUGUCACACAUACAGGUGAGAGCAAUGGGGUCAUGCGCACACACACGCACACACGCACAGAGUCCUCCCCACCACACACAGUAGCCCUCCCUAAACAAUUGAUUCCCAUUCAAAAUCCUUACCCUUAACCAUUACCUUAACACUGACUUGCAAUAUACAGACAGAGCAGAAAGUUGCAAUAGGCCCGCUCAACCCAAGGAUUGAUACCAGCACAAACAGAAACCCUCUUAAACCAAACCUUAACCUGAACCCUGACCCUAAAUGUAAACCUAACCCCUAAAAUAGCCUUUUUCCUUGUGGGGACCGGCUCAAUGUUUCCACUUGUCCGAAUGUUCCUUGUUUUACUAUCCUUGUGUGGACUUCUGGUCCCCACGAGAAUAGUACAACUAAAAACACACAUACACAGGCACACACAAAACAUAACCCUAACCCCAAACCCUGAACCUAACCCUUAAGCCUAAAAUAGCAUUUUUAGCAAAUUCAGGACAUGAAAAAAGUCCUGACUUUUCAAAAAUGUCCUUGUUUUCCUACCUUAUCAGGCCAUUUUGGUGAAUUGUUAGGACAUUAUGAUCCUGAUAAUAUUGGAAACCAUGUACACACACACCCACAUGCACACACUUUUCAAGACUUUUUGGGGAGUAAAAAUGUAUUCCGAUUCAAAAUCCUAUUUUCCCUAACCCCUAAACUAACCCUUAACCAGAGUAUGUGAGCGGAGUUGAGCAGUAGGAAAUCACGCUCACUGCUCACGGAGUUGUGCUUGCACACAGCUCCACGUUCUUUCCAACCACUCCCUUAAAAAAACACUCCUCUCUCACCAGAAAGAAAACUGCUGCUCCAAAUUCGCUCCAUUCAUUAAAAUCACAAUUUAACCAACACCCAUCUAUUUUUGUGACUUCUUGGACCUACCAUUUGAUUUUGAAGUAUUGAAACCAAACCAUAUGAUUUGAAUGAAAAGUAUUAUAAUAAAAAUGAAACGGUGAAUGUAAGACGUGCUCAUCCUUUCAAAUAGACUGUAUGUCACAUUAAACAGCAUAUGAACCAGUGUUAUGUUCGAGACCAUCUAAAGCGAGAUUGAUUCAAGACCAAGACCAGGAGUCUGACAAGGGGAAAAAUGUGAGACCAUGAUUGCAAUUUUGUCAAAUCACCAAUAUAAUAAGAGUUCAGAAUGUCCAGUAUUUCUGUGUUCAUAUUUCAGAAUAACAUGUGGAUUCUUUAGACAUUCCGAAUAGUGAAGAAAUACAUGUUGAGGAAAAUAGAAGCACUCUACAUAUAUUAGUAACCCAAACACAGUGGAGCACAAUGGGCCUUCUACGCCUUCAGAGAAGGGCUAAGGAUUUAUAAAAUAAUUAUUAUAAUAAUAAUAUAAUAAUAAUAAUGAUAAUGAUAUUAUUAUCAAUGAUGUUCUGAUUUAAUCUGUUUAGUUUUGUUGAAAAAGAAAGGGUUAACACUGAAUAGAAAAAAAGAUCCAAUCAGGAUUCUCUUUGCUGGUCUCUGGGGAGAUAAAUCUAGCUAGCUAAAUCAGUCCUUGGCUAUCAGAAUAUAGAUAAAUGCAUCCACCAUUCAACUGUAUUAGGGCACACAUUUGGAGUGACAGUAGAAUAAACCAAUCACAUUUUGACUUACUUUUGCCUUCUUGACGGCCCCACUACGCAAUAGCGAGUAGUAGUUUUCCCACGGUCUAGCUAGCUAGCAUUUGUUGUCGGCUAAUUUGCAGCAGUUGCAGCAGGUGUUAUCAAUUAAUAAAAGCUUUAAUCGUUGUGUUUUGUAGUCUUAUGAUUGGGACCUACUGGAUUAUUGUGUCCGGGUUUAUGGACUGCUCAUCCUUUAUCACCAUGCUGUGUGUGACUGCUGUCUUUCCAUCAGCCCUAAGCAGUGGCGUCGUGGUACCUGGAGAAGUGGGUAUAUUCACAUUUUGCAACAAAGUUCCCAAUCGCCCCGCCCAGCGAAGGAAUGGCAACCUGUGUUUUCCAAUAGAUGUUUCAUAUUUUCACUCUCAAAAUUUGAAAAAAUACAAAAAUGUAAGGUCUAAGUCCACAACAAUGCUUAAACUACAUCAAUCUAAUUGGGUGAGCCUGUGGGCCUGACUCCCCAGUGGCCUGUCCACCCAGGCCCAUCCAUGUCUAUGCCCCGGAUGCAAGCAGAACAUGAUGACAAUUGCGCAUCAAAAAUUGCCUACUAACCAACACUUGUGAUUGUGUAGGCUACUUUGUGCAUGAUUUCUCUAUUGUACCACAUAAUUGAUACAUCGUGUACCUCCACUACACUACUUUCUUAUGCACCAGUAGGGAUUAAUAAGCAGUCAGGAUACACAAUGCCCACUGAAAAAAAGUGGGUAUACGGUUUAUACCUGCAUAUAGCCUGGUAUUAAGGUUGCUGUCCUUUCAGAAUCACGAACCUGUCACACACCGAAGGCCUAUAGGUUCACCACUGCGCAAACAUGUCUGUAAUAGAUAUAAAGUAUGUUAACAUACUGUAGUAAUGUUUCAAGAAAUGAGUGUAUAUUUGGCCUGGCGAAGCAGAUUUAUGCGCUGAUUGAAUUGAAGCUGAUAUUACUCGUUGUUUUUACUUCGCUGGUCUCAGGAGAAAUUUGAGUCCUCACUGUCCUAGACCGAGUCAAGACAGAGUACAGAUGUAUCCGACAACGAGACAAGACCAAGACACUCAAUACGUGGUCUCGAGACCGGACUUGAGACUCGAGAACUACAACACUGAUAAACACUCGAAAUAGGUCAGGAGCCAGACAGGGAGCCUGAUAAGGAACGGAAAUUAAGUACUUAAGCUGUAUUAUUUCAAUUAUUUCAAGGCUAUAGCCUACAAAGAAAUGCAUUGUGAAGCAUUUGCGAAUGCGACACACUUGGCUGGUAGGGAGACAGGGACGUUAAGCGCUCCACAUUUUGUUGUAUUACACCAUUAUAGUCUAUAAAUUGCGCAUAUCGCCUGUGACUUAGAAUUAAAUACAAAUUAAACGAAAAAUGCCAGUUUAGCCAAAGUCUGUUCCUUCAGGGUCAGGUGCCUGGACAGCAGGCCAGCAGCUGAGAACAUCCUAUCCAUGCUUCAAAGCCACUGUGGAUGGUAAACAUCAUUUUGUCCACCCUUGCUAGGCUGGGCAGAGUUUUUUUUCUCCAUAGGUAGGCCUAAAGGCAGUGGUGUAAAGUACUUAAGAAGUUAAGAAGUUUUUUGGGGUAUCUGUACUUUACAAUUUCUAUUUUUGACAGCUUUUACUUUUACGAAAGACAAUCAGGUACUUUUUAAUCCAUACAUUUCCCCUGACACCCAAAAGUGCUCACUAUAUUUUGAAUGCUGAGCAGGACAAGAUAUUGUCCAAUUUAUGCGUUUAUCAAGAUACCAUUCCUGGUCAUCGCAACUGCCUCUGAUCUGGCGGACUCACUAAAUAGACAUGCUUAAUUUGUAAAUUAUGUCUGAGUGUUGGGGAUAGCCCCUGGCUAUCCGUAAAUUAAAAAAAAUAAAUAUAUAAUCAUAAUCAUAUAAUAAUAUAAUCAAUUUUAAAUUAUUUAUACUUUUACUUUUGAUACUUAAGUAUAUUAAAAACCAAAUACUUAAAAAAAAACUUUUACUCAAGUAGUAUUUUACUGGGUGACUUCACUUUUACUUGAGUCAUUUUCUAUUAAGGUAUCUUUACUUUUACUCAAGUAUGACAUUACGGUACUUUUCCACCACUGCCUAAAGUUUUUUAGGCAAAAUAACCCAACCAAAACGGAAAGCUCCUUGACAGUUGGAAUAUGCCAGGCCUUUUGGGACAAAAUCAAGUAGGGACUAUUGUAUGAAUAAAGCAAAAAUGAAGGAAACUUUUAAGAGAUCUGAUUUCCCACUCUUUCCUUUCUUUUAGCAUGUGCACGUCAUAAGUACACCAUCAUACUUUCGGGAUAUGUGUCUUUUCAGAUUCCACAAUGAUUCUUUAGUUGUGGACACAUCACUGCACACUACAUCACUGCACUCCCUCUCUUGCUCUAGGCCGUCAUCUUUGUAAGUCACCUUGAUUUAGCAGCUGUCAGUAGCUCGAGAAAGGGGCUAUAGCAGCACACAAGUAGACUAAACAUACAUGCUUACUCGGGCAUGCCCUGGGCUAGUGAAAUGAGCGCUACUGGAGAAUGAGCGCUACUGGAGAAUGAGCGCUACAAAAUUGGAGCGGGCAAGAAGGAUGACGCUCCAGCCUUUGAGAAUCGCGCUCUGCGCUCCAGUCAAAUUGAGCACGCUCCGCUCCUCGCUACGCUCCGCUCCUCGCUACGCUCCAGCUCCGUUCCACUUCACUCGCAUACUCUGCCCUUAACCUAACCUUAACCCUAACCUUAACCACAAACCUUUAACCCUAAACCUUAACUCCUAACCCUAACCUUAAACGUAACCCUAACAUUAAACGUAACCCUAACCGCAACCCCAAACCAUAAAACAAACCCUUAAGCCUAAAAUUGAAUUUUAACAAAUUCAGUCCUGACUUUUCAAACAUGUUCUUGUUUUGUUACCUUGUCCGGACAUGCUGGUCCUGAUAAGGUAGGAAAAUAUGUACACACAGUGCAUACACCCCCUUGCUCUCAUUUUUGUCAAAAUGUUUUAAAUUACUUUUUCUUUUCUCUCCUACUCCACACAUUUCAGAACAUGGCAAAUAUACAUCUGCUCUAGUCAAACUCACGGCCUUAACAAACAAUAAAAACCAAUACAAAUUCCACCUCCCCCAUUUCGGUUUUAAGACAUCACAUUUAAAGACACACAAUAUAGAAAAAAAUAGUAAUGGUAAGUUUUCCCUUGGAGAGUGUUUGGAGGGAGUGGCUGCAGUUAGACAAGGUAGCUAGGGAGUAGCUGCAGUUAGACAAGGUGGCUAGGGAGUGGCUGCAGUUAGACAAGGUAGCUAGGGAGUAGCUGCAGUUAGACAAGGUGGCUAGGGAGUGGCUGCAGUUAGACAAGGUAGCUAGGGAGUAGCUGCAGUUAGACAAGGUGGCUAGGGAGUAGCUGCAGUUAGACAAGGUGGCUAGGGAGUAGCUGCAGUUAGACAAGGUGGCUAGGGAGUAGCUGCAGUUAGACAAGGUGGCUAGGGAGUAGCUGCAGUUAGACAAGGUGGCUAGGGAGUAGCUGCAGUUAGACAAGGUGGCUAGGGAGUAGCUGCAGUUAGACAAGGUGGCUAGGGAGUAGCUGCAGUUAGACAAGGUGGCUAAAUGCUCUCCAUUUGUGUGUCCUUUGUAAGGCGCUAAUCUCAGUCGCCACGGCAACGCAGUCUCUCCCCACCAAAAAAAUCCAAGGCGGAGCUUUGUGCUGCAGCUUCACACUGCAACUUUAUUUCACCACAAGAGCAGACGUGUAGUAGCUUCGUGUAGGAAAACAAAAAGGGUCCUGCAGCCUAAACUGUCCCCCCUAACCACCACAUCACACCUCCCCUUACCCCUUCCUCCCUGCAAACACCGUUCUCUGAUUGGAGCAGGGAAGGGUCUCUCUUCUUUAGCUCUCUCUAUCUCUCUCUCCGUGUUAGGGUUGCCAUGGUGAUGGUGGUGGUG